GACAGAGGGUGCGAACGUUGCUCGGAAUUACUGGGCGUAAAGCGCGUGUAGGCGGACUGGUAAGUCGGACGUGAAAUCCCUGGGCUCAACCCAGGAACUGCAUCCGAAACUAUCAGUCUGGAGUGGUGGAGAGGAAAGCAGAAUUCCUGGUGUAGAGGUGAAAUUCGUAGAUAUCAGGAGGAACACCGGUGGCGAAGGCGGCUUUCUGGACCGUAACUGACGCUGAGACGCGAAAGCGUGGGGAGCAAACAGG
rnacentral:rRNA from 1 species